rnacentral:misc_RNA from 1 species
GGACUACACGGGUUUCUAAUCCUGUUUGCUCCCCACGCUUUCGAGCCUCAGCGUCAGUUACAGACCAGAGAGCCGCCUUCGCCACUGGUGUUCCUCCAUAUAUCUACGCAUUUCACCGCUACACAUGGAAUUCCGCUCUCCUCUUCUGCACUCAAGUCUCCCAGUUUCCAAUGACCCUCCACGGUUGAGCCGUGGGCUUUCACAUCAGACUUAAAAGACCGCCUACACUCCCUUUACGCCCAAUAAAUCCGGACAACGCUCGCCACCUACGUAUUACCGCGGCUGCUGGCACG